GUGAGGAAUAUUGGUCAAUGGACGAGAGUCUGAACCAGCCAAGUAGCGUGAAGGAUGACUGCCCUAUGGGUUGUAAACUUCUUUUAUAUGGGAAUAAAAUGUUCCACGUGUGGGAUUUUGUAUGUACCAUAUGAAUAAGGAUCGGCUAACUCCGUGCCAGCAGCCGCGGUAAUACGGAGGAUCCGAGCGUUAUCCGGAUUUAUUGGGUUUAAAGGGAGCGUAGGUGGAUUGUUAAGUCAGUUGUGAAAGUUUGCGGCUCAACCGUAAAAUUGCAGUUGAAACUGGCAGUCUUGAGUACAGUAGAGGUGGGCGGAAUUCGUGGUGUAGCGGUGAAAUGCUUAGAUAUCACGAAGAACUCCGAUUGCGAAGGCAGCUCACUGGACUGCAACUGACACUGAGGCUCGAAAGUGUGGGUAUCAAACAGG
rnacentral:rRNA from 1 species